rnacentral:lncRNA from 1 species
AGAAAAUGUUUCGAUAUGCUGACAAAUAACUAAGAACGCUGACAUAUUUGGGUCCAAACUGAAAGAAAGAAUGGGUUCUGCUGCUGCAGUUCAUCUCCAGCAAUAACACAGAACAAUGGUGCGCCGCAGUUCAUCUCUAGCAAUAACACAGAACAAUGGCGAGUACAAGCAAUGCUAACUCUGGAACAGAACUGGCAGUGAUCGGAUAAUCGGCUCUCUUCUCUGAAGCUAGAAUAUCAGAUGACUGGUCGCCCAGGCUGUUGUGCAGUGGUACAAUCACAGCUCACUGCAGCCUCCACCUGACCUCUUGGGUUCAUGAUCCUCCCAUCUACUUCCUCCUGAAUAGCUGGGACUACAGGCGCCCACCACACUCGGCUGUUUUUUAAUUUUUUGUAGAGAUGAGGUCUCACUGUGUCACCCAGGCUAGUCUCAAACUCUUGGGCUCAAGCAAUCUUCCUGCCUUCCCCGGCCUAUCAAAGUGUUGAGAUUAGAGGCAUGAGCCACCACCUCUGGACUUUUUCUUAUAAUUUUUAAAGAUUUUGUGAAUACACUGUAGUGUCAUCCUCAAGUAAGGAAAAUGCUAAUUCUUACUUUCAAAUCCCUAUGCUUUGUUGUUAUUAUUGUCUUAUUGCAAUGUCCAGGAAUUACAGCAUGUUUUUGAACAGUGAGAAUAAACACAUUCAUUAUAGUCUCAUUUUUAAAGAGUAAACAUUCAAUAUUUCAAAUUAAGAAUUACCUUAGUAAAGGUGUUUUUAUAAUUGUUCUUCAUCAGGUUGAGGAAGAUACUAUGUAUUCCUACUUUGAUAAGACUAUUUUGUGAAUGGCUUUUGUAUUCUGGCAAUGAUUUUUCUACAUCUUCUGAGAUUAUCAUAUGCAUUUUUUCAUGUAUUCUGGUCAUCUUGUGAAUUACAUUGAUCAGUCUUCAAAUAAUUAAAUAUAAGGUACAAAUCCCUGUAGAUAUUAAUAUACUAUCAUUUUGUAUGUUGCUGAGAUGAAUAUGAUUUGCUAAUAUUUUAAGAAUUUUUACAUCCAUGUUCAUGUUCAUGAUGGAUAUUAUUCUGUAAUUUUUACUUCUUUUUCAGUUUCAUUUCCUUUUUCUUGUUAUUUGUUUGUUAGGUUUCAGUAUGGAGAAAAUCUUGGCUUUCUAAAAUGAGUGUGGAUAUGUUAAUUCAUUUCAUAUUUUUGCAAGAGUUUGUGUUAAAUUAGGAUUAUUUCUACUUACAUUAUUAAUAGAAUUCACCAAUGAAGUCAUCUGCUUCUGGAGUUUUGCUUGAGCGGAAUUUAUUAAUUAUGAAUUCAAUUUGUUUUUGUCUCUGUGUUCUAGAUUUGGUAGUACUGGAUUUCAAAAAAAUCACAUUUUCUCUAAGUUAUGGAAUAUAUUGAUUUCAACUAUUUUCUGCUUUAUUUUCCUAUUCUACAUAUGUCUGCCAUUAUUUUUCUUAUUCCCUUCUUUCUACUUAUUUUGGCUUUAAUUUGUGCUGUUUUUAAGGCUUUGAGCUAUGGGGUUUUCUGAUUUUUGAGCUUUCUUCUUUUUCUAUUGUAACCAUCUCAAGCUCUAUAUUUACAUCCUCAAUCUGCCUGGCUGCUCCCUACAAAUUUCAAUGUCUAGCACUUUAAUUACCAUUUUGUGUAAAAUAUUUUGUAAUUUAUCUUGUAAUUUCUUCUUGGAUCCACAGGUUAUUUAAAAACAUAGCGUUUGAUUUAUAUUUUCUAUGGUCCUAAAUUCAGGCUCGAUUAGUAAAUAGUUCAUGUGCAU